AGUGAACGCUGGCGGUAGGCCUAACACAUGCCAGUCGAACGGCAGCACAGUAAGAGCUUGCUCUUACGGGUGGCGAGUGGCGGACGGGUGAAGAAUACAUCGGAAUCUACUUUUUCGUGGGGGAUAACGUAGGGAAACUUACGCUAAUACCGCAUACGACCUACGGGUGAAAGCAGGGGAUCUUCGGACCUUGCGCGAUUGAAUGAGCCGAUGUCGGAUUAGCUAGUUGGCGGGGUAAAGGCCCACCAAGGUGACGAUCCGUAGCUGGUCUGAGAGGAUGGUCAGCCACACUGGAACUUGGACACCGUCCAGGCUCCUAAGGGAAGCAGCAGUGGGGAAUAUUGGACAAUGGGCGCAAGCCUGAUCCAGCCAUACCGCGUGGGUGAAGAAGGCCUUCGGGUUGUAAAGCCCUUUUGUUGGGAAAGAAAAGCAGCAGGUUAAUACCCCGCUGUUCUGACGGUACCCAAAGAAUAAGCACCGGCUAACUUCGUG
rnacentral:rRNA from 1 species